ensembl:antisense 1700034H15Rik RIKEN cDNA 1700034H15 gene
CGCCUCGACCCCCGCGCGGCCCGCCUUGCGCGCGCCCUUGGCGAGGUGGCCGUGGCCGUGGCCGUGCGAGUGGCCGUGGCCCGCGCCCUGGCCCUCGCCGCUGUGAUGGUGGAACAGACAGAGCCCCAGCACGUUGACCAGCAGCCCCGCCACGCCGACGCUCAGCACCACGAGCGGCUGCUGCAUCUCAUGCGGCUCGAUGAAGCGCUCGACGGCUUCCAGCAGGAUGGCGAAGCACAGCCCCGUGAGGAAGAUGGCGUUCACCAGUGCGCCCAUCACCUCAGCGCGGAUCCAGCCGAACGUGUUCUUCUGCGUGGCGUGAGUCCUCCGGGCGAAGCGCUCGGCCACCAGCGCCACUACGAGCGCCAGCACGUCCGACAGCAUGUGGAAGGAGUCGGACAGCAUGGCGAGCGACGCGGUCACCCGGCUCACCACCACCUCCAGCACCAUGAACAUGAAGGAAUAAUGAAAAUGGGGCCCAAGUUCUGCAGUCAUGGCAGGAAGGACAAGGCUGUGAAUUUGUGAGGCAGAAUCUACAAGCAAUGAAUGAGUGGAGAGCCCAUGCAGCUAAGAAAUUUGUUCCAUGCCCCACAGCUUGUGACUGUGGGACUCUGUGGACAUGAAGCCUGGCUUGUAACUUCACACCUUCAUUGGGGUAGCAAGCUGGUCUGAAGCUCAAGACCACAUGAAGCCCUACAGAGUCUGCUCCCUCCUGCUUCCUGUUCCUCUACACCGCUGGCUCUACUACAAAGAAAUGGGGAUUCCCUCAAGAAUCUCAUGCCGAGAGAAGGAAAAAGUGUCCAUCAAAAGAACGUGUCUCCUGGAAAGAGUCUUGCACACAGUUGUGACAACUUAUCAGCCCACAUCACAGGGCUGCGUGAAAUCUCAAGGACAGCACAGUGGUAAGCAGGGUCCCACCUGGACUGGGACUGCAGAUGCCCGGGCCUCCUAUGUAAGUCUUUGUUCUGUUUGUUUUCCGAGACAGAGUCUUUCCAUGUUAUCACUGGAGUACCGGCUGGCUCCUUAAGGCAUGUGUCACUGCACGGUUUAGAUUUUAGUUAUCAUUAGCAGAUCAUAUUUUUUUCUUUGCUUGUUUCAAUAUUUUUUUCUUUUUUAAAAAAGAUUAUAUUUAUUUUUUAUUUUAUACAGAUGUGUUUUAUCCAAAUAUGUGCCUGCAUGCCAGAAGAUACCAUUACAGAUGGUUGUGAGCCACCAUGUGGUUGCUGGGAAUUGAACUGAGGACCUCUGGAAGAGCAGACAGUGCUCUUAACUGCUGAGCCAUCUCUCCAGCCCCCGCAUUGUACUUUGAACUGGCCUUUAAGCCAUGUUCCUCGGAGGGUCAGCAGCCAGCAGCCAGCAACCUCUCCUUGCCGGAGCAGAAUCCUCAACAAAAGCCGCUUAAGGCAGGAAGCAUCUGUUGUGGCGGCAGCUGGAGGGUGCGGUUCAUCCUAGCAGGGAAGACCUGGCAGCAGGAGCUGGAGGCCUUGGGGCCAGGAAACCAAGAGCGUCUUCUCAGUGCUCAGCCUGCUGUCGUCCAGGGCGCCAGCCUGUGAGGUGGCAUCGGUCCACCUUUACCAAGUCUUCUAGAAUCUGUCUCUCAGGCAUGCCUAGAAGUUCGUUUCCAUGGUGAUUCCAAACAUGUUGAGUUGAUGGUCAAGUCAGCCACCACAGAUGUGUUAAUUAUAUUUUACGAUGUUUCCAAUUUACGGUGAGUUUAUUAAGGGUAGGUCAAAGACCCUCCGUAUUCUGAAAUUCAGAAGAUUUGUACCCAGGUUUACCUGUUGUUGGGUUUUCUCCCAUUGGCUUUGGCUUUUGUGCUUCCUCCUUUGUCCUUGAGAUAGGUCCUUGCUGUGCAACCCCAGCUGUUCCAGAACUUGCUAAGUAGACCUGUCUGUCUUUGAAUUUGCUGCAAUCCUCUUGCCUCUGUCUCCUGAGAGCUAGGAUUAUAUAGACACCGUGCUCACUGCGUCUUUGUCUCUUGAAGGAUGUGAAGCAAGUCACGCAGGAAAGAACCAACUCUCCAAAGUUAUCCUCUGAUGUACAUACAUACGUAAACACACACACACACACACACACACACAAACACACACACACACACACACACACACAAAACAUAAUCCAAAGCCAAACACCUUGAUAUGCAUCUCAGAAAAAUAGGGCUAUUCUGAUACAUAGCCAUAGUACAUUUUUGCCUGCUUUAUAAGUUAGGAUGUCAUUGUCUGUAAACCCAGUGGCUCUAACAUCAUCUUAGCACUGCCCCCUCCAAGGCGAUUACCUGCCUCUCCCCUCAUUUUGCUUAGAGCAUUUCCAUAGCCCCCCUUUUUGUUCUUUAUAAUGUUGACAUAUUCUUAAGAAUAUAGUUCUUCUCAUGUUUUGGGGGGAGGCAAGCAGUAACAUCAUUAGCUUGAGGCUGGAGUGGGCUAAAAGCAUGUUCCAGAAGCACCUUCCAGGCCCACAUCAGCUACAUAGUAAGAGCCUGUCUCAGGAAGCCAAGGUUGGAGUAGGGCUCAGCCGUGUUGCACUUGCCUCUCACACACAGGCCUCAGAUUGAUCCCCAACACCACAAGAUCAAAUAAAAGCCCAUCUGCUCCGUCUGAUGCUUUGUUCUCUCCGUUGGGAUAUUGCGGAAGUGGAGUCCUGUCCUGUUUCUGGGGGCAUCUGACCUGGGAGCAAGUGACAUCCACCUGUCCCUUCCCAGAAGCGCAUCCUUUAAUCUCUCUCUCCACCCAUUCCACACUCGCCCAGCUCCUUUACCAUAUAAUUAUUUUCUUUCCUUUGAACUGAGAAGCCGUCUCUGGGUAGGUACUGUUAAGACUACGAAAAUGUAUUAUCCACCAACAUUUCCUCUCACACUCGGUGUGGGAAAUGAGCCCCACCCGGCUCCAUCUUCACGUUCUUGCGCUGCCUGCCUCAGUGUUUGCCAGUGUCCUGGAAGCAGGAGCUCACCACACCCCCACUAGUUUAUUUCUUGGUCUCAGUGGUUUACAGUUCAUCUCUGCUUAUUUGGGGCCUGUGGUUGCUGAUUUCAUGAAUGUUUCUGGAUUUUUGACUGAAUGAUGCAACUGAGGCGUUUGUGGUGAUUCUGUCCACCCCAGCGCGGCCAGAGAACCCGCAACAACAGCUCGAAGGACUUCGGAAAGAUGACAUUGAUUCUGGCUUUCCUGUUUGUAACCAAUGGGUUGUGGGUAGGCUGUGCAAGCUUCAGUUUCCCCGACGGUGUCGGUGUGAGAAUACUGGAGUUUACCAUCCAGACUGAACAAGAUAACGUUUGUGUUUCGGAGGAUGACUGAUACACCAGUACCUCACAGGUUCUGUUCCUAGUGUGAUAUGGUUCAUGCAUGAACCAGGUCAUCUCUGCUGUUGUUGCAGCUCCCUAUUGCUCACAGCCACCAUUGAAAAGUACCCCCAAACUCACUCAGGUCUGCCCCUUUCCUACAGCUGGGUUAAUCCAGAGAUAACUAGCCUGGCUGCUUUUUUUCAGAGAGCAUGGGUAUGAAAUAGAGAGGCAAAUGGCUCACUCCUGGCUACCCAGGAGGGGUGCCUCAUUUCUGGAAACACACCUAGUCCAGCGAGUGCAUUCUCUGUCGCCAUCAAGGGCUGCUUACACUCCUCUCUUCUUUUCCUGGUGACGGGUGUUACUCUGAGGCGCUCGCGCUCGCUCGCUCGCAGUGGGAGAACGUUCUCUGCGUGACUCAUCCUCAUUCCAGGAUAACGUGCUCUACUUUCGUUCUCUGCCUCCCACUCAGUUUCACAUCCCUCUUCGGAGCCUCCGGACCCUCUGUGCCCCAUCUGCCUCCCACGCCCAUCCCCGCCCUCUUCUGCUUUGGUCCUUGCUCCAGACUGCUGCGCCAUCCUCAGAUUCUACUGCCUGCACUGGGAGGAGUCAGGUUUAUGGCAGAGCAUGUGUGUUGCUGAGAAGCCUCUCUGAUUCACGUUGGAUAUAGCACGAAGGUGUACAAGGAGAAGUGUCUGUCUGUGUGUCCAGCAUCCUGCAAAGGCCCAAGCACCGCAGCAAAGCAAAGAGCUCCAGGCACCCCAGUUUCAUUUCAUUUCCUCCAAAGCCCCUGGGAAUUCUGAGCUCCUGGGGUUGCUGGUGAGCAGAAUCAGACUGGGAAAAGCCAUGCCAGGGGCUCAGCCUAGGGAUGUGAUCGUUGUGCCAAGAUCUCCAGUUUCGUGUUUUGUUUCUUCUGAAACACGCUCUGACCUGUAUAAUUUGAUGUUACUCACAUCUAAAUGCUAAUAAAACAACUGAAAUAUUUGCAGAUGA